AUGGAGGGCUCCACCCACGAAGGGUCCACGAAGAAGCAACCUUGUCUAUCCCACCAUGGCUGUCGCCCACGAAGGACUUGCCUCACUAGGGUAGAUCUUCAUGAAGUAGGCGAUCUCCUUGCCCUUACAAACUCCUUGGUUCAACUCCACAAUCUUGUCGGAGGCUCCCAAGUGACACCUAGCCAAUCUAGGAGACACCACUCUCCAAGAAGUAACAAAUGGUGUGUUGAUGAUGAACUCCUUGCUCUUGUGCUUCAAAUGAUAGUCUCCCCAACACUCAACUCUCUCUCACAGGAUUUGGAUUUGGUGGAAAGAAGAUUUGAGUGGAAAGCAACUUGGGGAAGGCUAGAGAUCAAGAUUCAUAUGGUAGGAAUGGAAUAUCUUGGUCUCAACAUAAGUGUAGGUGGCUCUCUCUCAGAAAAUGUAGGUUGGAAGUGUAGGCACGUUCUGAUGGCUCUCUCCACGAAUGAAGAGUGGGUGGAGGGGUAUAUAUAG
rnacentral:rRNA from 1 species